UUCCAGACUCCUACGGGAGGCAGCAGUGGGGAAUAUUGCACAAUGGGGGAAACCCUGAUGCAGCGACGCCGCGUGAGUGAAGAAGUAUUUCGGUAUGUAAAGCUCUAUCAGCAGGGAAGAUAAUGACGGUACCUGACUAAGAAGCCCCGGCUAACUACGUGCCAGCAGCCGCGGUAAUACGUAGGGGGCAAGCGUUAUCCGGAUUUACUGGGUGUAAAGGGUGCGUAGGUGGCAUGGCAAGUCAGAAGUGAAAGCCCGGGGCUCAACCCCGCGGACUGCUUUUGAAACUGUCAGGCUGGAGUACAGGAGAGGUAAGCGGAAUUCCUAGUGUAGCGGUGAAAUGCGUAGAUAUUAGGAGGAACACCAGUGGCGAAGGCGGCUUACUGGACUGUAACUGACACUGAGGCACGAAAGCGUGGGGAGCAAACAGGAUUAGAUACCCUAGUAA
rnacentral:rRNA from 1 species